rnacentral:rRNA from 1 species
AACGAACGCUGGCGGCAUGCCUAACACAUGCAAGUCGAACGAGAACUUCGGGUCUAGUGGCGCACGGGUGCGUAACGCGUGGGAACCUGCACUUAGGUUCGGAAUAACUCCCCGAAAGGGGUGCUAAUACAGGAUAAUGUCUUCGGACCAAAGAUUUAUCGCCUUUGGAUGGGCCCGCGUUGGAUUAGCUAGUUGGUAGGGUAAAAGCCUACCAAGGCGACGAUCCAUAGCUGGUCUGAGAGGAUGAUCAGCCACACUGGGACUGAGACACGGCCCAGACUCCUACGGGAGGCAGCAGUGGGGAAUAUUGGACAAUGGACGAAAGCCUGAUCCAGCAAUGCCGCGUGAGUGAUGAAGGCCGUAGGGUUGUAAAGCUCUUUUACCCGGGAUGAUAAUGACAGUACCGGGAGAAUAAGCUCCGGCUAACUCCGUG